GACGAACCGGCCAAACGUUAUUCGGAAUUACUGGGCUUAAAGGGUGCGUAGGCGGUGCGGAAAGUUGGGUGUGAAAUCCCUCGGCUUAACCGAGGAACUGCGCUCAAAACUACCGUGCUGGAGGAAGACAGAGGUGAGCGGAACUAAGGGUGGAGCGGUGAAAUGCGUUGAUAUCCUUAGGAACACCGGUGGCGAAAGCGGCUCACUGGGUCUUUUCUGACGCUGAGGCACGAAAGCUAGGGGAGCGAACGGG
rnacentral:rRNA from 1 species